UUUUGGACCAAUUUGCAAAAAGUACCACUUGACCUCUACUUCAUUCUAAGUCUGAAAUUCAGAUUUGUGGGCUCAACUUUUGAGCCUUGUAGCUCUCAAAAUAUAGGGUUUUAGCCCUAGGUCACCACAUCAAUUUUGUUAACCUAUUAUAGGAGAACAACUUUGAUGCAGAUAUUCUCUUGAGUUGUGACACAAAAAUUAGAGAAAAACCUGUUAUAGGUUGCUCUGUCAGAACAGUUUCAGAAAACUGAAACUGAACCUAAGGUUAAAACAAGGUUCCAGUGAGGUGAGGUCAAGUUUGAUGCGCCAUAUCUUCGAAUCCCCUCGGUUUUGACCCCAAAUGUCCUGUAUAAGGAUUGAAGACUGUUAAAUCAAGAACAAACCUUAUUAAGGAAUUUUGCCCGGUUAUUCACAAGAAUCAUGAGAGCUAGUCGGUGGAAGGGGGACGGUUCAGGCGACUGACGAAGAUGUGCCAUGGUACAGUGCCCCGAUGGAUCAGACCGCCAGCUAAGCUCGCCAUCGAUGAUCGCCGUCCGGAUUCGUGCACGGUAUAGACGGAUAACGCCGGGAAAAGGGUGAAUCGUACAUGGUGCCAUCUCCUGUGCUCGGCCGGAGUGAUUCACCGGCGGCCAUCGCGUCAAUCCUUUCCGCCGCGGUGUCCUCGGC
rnacentral:lncRNA from 1 species